UUUGUACUCCCUCCGUCCCAAAAUUUUUGUCUUAAAUUUGUCUAAAUACGGAUGUAUCUAGUUACAUUUUAGUGUUAGAUACAUCCGUAUCUAAACAAAUGUAAGACAAGAAUUUUGGGACGGAGGGAAUACUAC
rnacentral:pre_miRNA from 1 species